AUGUGUGUCCCUGACCUUAGCAUUCUCAGGAGUGCUGUGUCAGGAGACCAAUCUUAUCAUAUGGGAGCCAUUGUAGCUCGUAGGUUGCAUCAUAAUAAACAUAAUGGAGAUUUCUUUGGAGGAAUUUAUGCAACCCGCUUAGCUAAAUUUCUUGAGAUAGACGUUCGUGAAGGAGACAUGGAGUUGCCUCCUGGUUAUUUAGAUUUUGAUUCUAUGGUUUCCCACCAUUUUAUCAAGAGGAACGAAUCACCUCUCCAGUACCGACUAAUCUUUGACAGACGUCAUGCUGUCCAUAUUACUCUUCCUCCUCCUGCUUUCUUUGAUUAUCAGGCAAGAGGAGGAUAUACUAUUACCAGAGAGGAGGCAGAUGAGUAA
rnacentral:rRNA from 1 species